rnacentral:ncRNA from 2 species
CUUCUAGUGAGUAUUCAACUGCCCGUACCGCAAACCGACACAGGUAGUCGAGGAGAGAAUCCUAAGGUGAGCGAGAGAACUCUCGUUAAGGAACUCGGCAAAAUGACCCCGUAACUUCGGAAGAAGGGGUGCUGGCCGCAAGGCCAGCCGCAGUGAAAAGGCCCAGGCGACUGUUUAUCAAAAACACAGGUUUCUGCAAAAUCGUAAGAUGAAGUAUAGGGGCUGACGCCUGCCCGGUGCUGGAAGGUUAAAAGGAUGGGUUAGCUUCGGCGAAGCUCAGAAUUGAAGCCCCAGUAAACGGCGGCCGUAACUAUAACGGUCCUAAGGUAGCGAAAUUCCUUGUCGGGUAAGUUCCGACCCGCACGAAAGGCGUAACGAUCUGGGCACUGUCUCAACGAGAGACUCGGUGAAAUUGAAAUCCCUGUGAAGAUGCAGGGUACCCGCGACAGGACGGAAAGACCCCAUGGAGCUUUACUGUAGCUUGAUAUUGAGUGUUUGUACUGCUUGUACAGGAUAGGUAGGAGCCAUAGAAAGCGGAACGCUAGUUUCGCUGGAGGCGUUGGUGGGAUACUACCCUUGCAUUAUGACCACUCUAACCCGCAGCACUGAACGUGCUGGGAGACAGUGUCAGGUGGGCAGUUUGACUGGGGCGGUCGCCUCCCAAAAGGUAACGGAGGCGCCCAAAGGUUCGCUCAGAAUGGUUGGAAAUCAUUCGCAGAGUGUAAAGGCACAAGCGAGCUUGACUGCGAGACAGACAGGUCGAGCAGGGACGAAAGUCGGGCUUAGUGAUCCGGUGGUUCCGCAUGGAAGGGCCAUCGCUCAACGGAUAAAAGCUACCCUGGGGAUAACAGGCUUAUCUCCCCCAAGAGUCCACAUCGACGGGGAGGUUUGGCACCUCGAUGUCGGCUCAUCGCAUCCUGGGGCUGUAGUCGGUCCCAAGGGUUGGGCUGUUCGCCCAUUAAAGCGGUACGCGAGCUGGGUUCAGAACGUCGUGAGACAGUUCGGUCCCUAUCCGUCGCGGGCGUAGGAAAUUUGAGAGGACCUGUCCUUAGUACGAGAGGACCGGGAUGGACAUACCGCUGGUGUACCAGUUGUUCCGCCAGGAGCACCGCUGGGUAGCUAUGUAUGGACGAGAUAAACGCUGAAAGCAUCUAAGUGUGAAACUCGCCUCGAGAUGAGAUUUCCCAUUCCCUUCGGGGAAGUAAGACCCCACAAAGAUGAUGUGGUAGAUAGGAUGGAAGUGGAAGUGCAGUGAUGCAUGGAGCGGACCAUUACUAAUCGGUCGAGGACUUAACCAA